GAUGAACGCUAGCGACAGGCUUAACACAUGCAAGUCGAGGGGCAGCAAUUUGUAGCAAUACAAAGUUGGCGACCGGCGCACGGGUGAGUAACGCGUAUGCAACCUACCCACAACAGAAGAAUAAUCCGGCGAAAGUCGGUCUAAUACUUCAUAAAACAGGGACACCGCAUGGUGUUAUUUGUUAAAGAUUUAUCGGUUGUGGAUGGGCAUGCGUACCAUUAGGUAGUUGGUGAGGUAACGGCCCACCAAGCCUACGAUGGUUAGGGGUUCUGAGAGGAAAGUCCCCCACACUGGUACUGAGACACGGACCAGACUCCUACGGGAGGCAGCAGUGAGGAAUAUUGGUCAAUGGGCGAGAGCCUGAACCAGCCAAGUCGCGUGAAGGAUGACGGCCCUAUGGGUUGUAAACUUCUUUUGCAGGGGAAUAAAGAUAUUUCACGUGUGGGUAG
rnacentral:rRNA from 2 species